rfam:Ipomoea nil DNA, scaffold: scaffold2792, cultivar: Tokyo-kokei standard.
GCCAAGAUGGCCGAGUUGGUCUAAGGCACCAGUUUUAGGUACUGGUUCGAAAGGGCAUGGGUUCAAAUCCCAUUGUUGAAA